rnacentral:rRNA from 1 species
GUGGGGAAUCUUCCGCAAUGGACGAAAGUCUGACGGAGCAACGCCGCGUGAGUGAAGAAGGUUUUCGGAUCGUAAAGCUCUUUCGUUAGGGACGAACGUGCUCUUUGUGAAUAAUGAGGAGUAAUGACGGUACCUAAAUAAGAAGCCACGGCUAACUACGUGCCAGCAGCCGCGGUAAUACGUAGGUGGCAAGCGUUGUCCGGAAUUAUUGGACGUAAAGCGCGCGCAGGCGGGAUAUCAAGUCUGUCUUAAAAGUGCGAGGCUCAACCUCGUGAGGGGACAGAAACUGGUAUUCUUGAGUGUCGGAGAGGAAAGUGGAAUUCCAAGUGUAGCGGUGAAAUGCGUAGAGAUUUGGAAGAACACCAGUGGCGAAGGCGACUUUCUGGACGAUGUCUGACGCUGAGGCGCGAAAGCUAGGGGAGCGAACGGGAUUAGAAACCCCAGUAGUCC